rnacentral:rRNA from 1 species
GCCUAACACAUGCAAGUCGAACGUGAAGCACUGUUCAAUCAAUUCGUUGAGCGAGUGGUGUGGAAAGUGGCGAACGGGUGAGUAACACGUAGGUAACCUGCCUCGGAGUGGGGGAUAACCGGUGGAAACGCCGGCUAAUACCGCAUGGGUCCAUAGUAGUUGGAGCUACAAUGGGCAAAGCUACGGCGCUUCGGGAGGGGCCUGCGACCGAUUAGUUAGUUGGUGAGGUAAAGGCUCACCAAGGCAGAGAUCGGUAGCUGGUCUGAGAGGACGAUCAGCCACACGGGAACUGAGACACGGUCCCGACUCCUACGGGGGGCAGCAGUGAGGAAUAUUGCACAAUGGGGGGAACCCUGAUGCAGCAACGCCGCGUGAAGGAUGAAGGUCUUUGGAUUGUAAACUUCUUUUAACGGGGAAGAGGAAGGACGGUACCCGUUGAAUAAGUCACGGCUAACUACGUGCCAGCAGCCGCGGUAACACGUAGGUGGCGAGCGUUAUCCGGAAUUAUUGGGCGUAAAGGGCGCGCAGGCGGCCAUUUAAGUUUGACGUGAAAGCUCCUGGCUUAACUGGGAGAGGUCGUUGGAAACUGAGUGGCUUGAGGCAAUGAGAGGGGUGCGGAAUUCCCGGUGUAGUGGUGGAAUGCGUAGAUAUCGGGAGGAACACCAGUGGCGAAAGCGGCACCCUGGCAUUGACCUGACGCUGAAGUGCGAAAGCGUGGGGAGCGAACGGGAUUAGAUACCCCGGUAGUCCACGCUGUAAACGAUGAACACUAGGUGUGGGUAGUGUCAAAGCUAUCUGUGCCGAAGCAAACGCGAUAAGUGUUCCGCCUGGGGAGUACGGCCGCAAGGCUAAAACUCAAAGGAAUUGACGGGGGCC